rnacentral:rRNA from 1 species
AGUGAACGCUGGCGGUAGGCCUAACACAUGCAAGUCGAACGGCAGCACAGUAAGAGCUUGCUCUUACGGGUGGCGAGUGGCGGACGGGUGAGGAAUACAUCGGAAUCUACUUUUUCGUGGGGGAUAACGUAGGGAAACUUACGCUAAUACCGCAUACGACCUACGGGUGAAAGCAGGGGAUCUUCGGACCUUGCGCGAUUGAAUGAGCCGAUGUCGGAUUAGCUAGUUGGCGGGGUAAAGGCCCACCAAGGCGACGAUCCGUAGCUGGUCUGAGAGGAUGAUCGGCCACACUGGAACUGAGACACGGUCCAGACUCCUACGGGAGGCAGCAGUGGGGAAUGUUGGACAAAGGGCGCAAGCCUGACCCAGCCAUCCCGCGUGGGUGAAAAAGGCCUUCGGGUUGUAAAGCCCUUUUUUUGGGAAAAAAAAGCAGCAGGUUAAUACCCCGCUGUUCUGACGGUACCGAAAAAAGAAGCACCGGCUAACUUCGUG